GCCCUCGGUGGCUCAGAUGGAUAGAGCAUCUGCCAUGUAAGCAGGAGGUCCCGGGUUCGAGUCCCAGUUGGGGCA